CCGGGUUCAAGCGAUUCUCCUGCCUCAGCCUCCCAAGUAGCUGGGAUUACAGGCAUGCGCCACCACGUCCGGCUAAUUUUUUGUAUUUUUAGUAGAGACGGGGGUUUCACCAUGUUUGUCAGGCUGGUCUCGAACUCCUGACCUCAGGUAAUCCACCCGCCUCGGCCUGCCAAAGUGGGCCGCCGCGCCUCAGAAGCGGGACGGCGUGGCACCCGAUAUCGAGACACCUGAUGGUGAUUGUGAAGCACAAUUCCCUCUCCCAUGUUUUAAAAACGCGCGCCCCUGGCCGGGCGCGGAGGCUCACGCCUGUAAUCCCAGCACUUUGGGAGGCCGAGGCGGGUGGAUCAUGAGGUCAGGGGUUCAAGACCAGCCUGGCCAAGGUGGUGAAACCCCGUCUCUACUAAAAAUACAAAAAAAUUAGCCGGGCGUGGUGGCGGGCGCCUGUAAUCCCAGCUACUUGGGAGGCUGAGGCAGAUAAUUGCUUGAACCUAGGAGGCAGAGAUUGCAGUGGGCCGAGAAUGUGCCACUGCAUUCCAGUCUGGCGACAGAGUGAGACUCUGUCUCAACAAACAGACAAACAAAAAACACGAGCCCCUCAUACACUGGCCAGUUGUUUUUGCUUUUUUGUGACAAAGUCUGGCUGUGUCCCCAGGCUGGUGUGCAGUGGUGUGAUCACCGUUCACUGCAGCCUUGACCUCCAGGGCUCAAGUUAUCCUGCCACCUCAGCCUCCCAAGUGGCUGGGACCGUGGACCACGCCUGGCUUUUUAAUUUUGUAUUUAUUUUUUGAGACGGAGUCUCACUCUGUCACCCAGGCUGAAGGCCAGUGGCGUGAUGUGGCUCACUGCAACCUCCACCUCCCUGGUUCAAGCGAUUCUCCUGCCUCAGCUUCCUGAGUAGCUGGGAUUACAGGUGCGUGUCACCAUGCCUGGCUAAUUUUUGUAUUUUUUAGUACAGAUGGGGUUUCACCACGUUGGUCAGGCUGGUCUCGAACUCCUGACCUCAGGUGAUCUGCCUGCCUCGGCCUCCCAAAGUGCUGGGAUUACAGAUGUGAGCCACUGUUCCUGGUCUAAUUUUUUUUUGUUGUUAGAUCAGAGUCUUGCUAUGUUACCCAGGCUGUUACUGAACUCUUGGGCUCAGGAGAUCCGCCUGCCUCGGGCUCCCAAAGUGCUAGGAUUACAGGCAUGAACCACCGUGCCUGGCGGACUAGCCGCUUUUUAUUUUUCUUCGUGGUUAUUGCAGGGUUGUGGAGCUUUAAAUCAUGCUUCUGUAGUCAGAGUGCUCUUAGUUGCAUUGUCUUAAUCCUCAUCACGGCCCGAGAACAGUCUGUAAAUCGGGAGUUCAGAGUGGGACCCUCUGCGGGGACCGGAAACCUGUUGCUGAAGCCGCUCACCACCAGGCCCAGAGAGGCGAGGCUGGAGCCCAUGGUGACAGUGGCCGGGCUUCGCUCUGGCUCCAGCAAUACCUGCAAAUCCAGUUCUUCCCAGCUGUUUCUCCAAACUGGUAGGAAAAAAAAAAGUGCAGAUUAGGGAGCCGAAACCCCACUUCAAAAACGGGAAUUCACCUACAAGAAAGUAGCUGAUCCUGCUCCCAUUGACGUGCUUGUUGUGCAAGGGUGAGGUUAACCAGCUAGGACCAAGCAACGGGUUUCCCUACACCCUGGGUGUGGCCACUCGUCCUGCAAGGAGAUAACCCAAGGAAGCAGCUCCUCCUGAAUCAUACAUGUUGAUCGCAGAUUGAGCUAGAAGGCAGAUCUCAUGACUGGUAUAAUGACUUCACUGGGAAGUUCUAGCAGUUGCCAGAACUGUAAGUUAGUUAUACAGGCUCCUGGUUCAAUGUUUUCCCGAAGUAGGUCAUUUGGUAACCUAAGAUUAGGAAUUUGGUAAUCUGGCACAAUACUUGGCACUGUGCUCAAUAAAUG
rnacentral:lncRNA from 10 species